AUUGAACGCUGGCGGCAUGCCUUACACAUGCAAGUCGAACGGCAGCACGGAGCUUGCUCUGGUGGCGAGUGGCGAACGGGUGAGUAAUAUAUCGGAACGUACCCUAGAGUGGGGGAUAACGUAGCGAAAGUUACGCUAAUACCGCAUACGAUCUAAGGAUGAAAGUGGGGGAUCGCAAGACCUCAUGCUCGUGGAGCGGCCGAUAUCUGAUUAGCUAGUUGGUAGGGUAAAAGCCUACCAAGGCAUCGAUCAGUAGCUGGUCUGAGAGGACGACCAGCCACACUGGAACUGAGACACGGUCCAGACUCCUACGGGAGGCAGCAGUGGGGAAUUUUGGACAAUGGGCGAAAGCCUGAUCCAGCAAUGCCGCGUGAGUGAAGAAGGCCUUCGGGUUGUAAAGCUCUUUUGUCAGGGAAGAAACGGUGGGAGCUAAUAUCUCUUGCUAAUGACGGUACCUGAAGAAUAAGCACCGGCUAACUACGUGCCAGCAGCCGCGGUAAUACGUAGGGUGCAAGCGUUAAUCGGAAUUACUGGGCGUAAAGCGUGCGCAGGCGGUUUUGUAAGUCUGAUGUGAAAUCCCCGGGCUCAACCUGGGAAUUGCAUUGGAGACUGCAAGGCUAGAAUCUGGCAGAGGGGGGUAGAAUUCCACGUGUAGCAGUGAAAUGCGUAGAUAUGUGGAGGAACACCGAUGGCGAAGGCAGCCCCCUGGGUCAAGAUUGACGCUCAUGCACGAAAGCGUGGGGAGCAAACAGGAUUAGAUACCCUGGUAGUCCACGCCCUAAACGAUGUCUACUAGUUGUCGGGUCUUAAUUGACUUGGUAACGCGGCUAACGCGUGAAGUAGACCGCCUGGGGAGUACGGUCGCAAGAUUAAAACUCAAAGGAAUUGACGGGGACCCGCACAAGCGGUGGAUGAUGUGGAUUAAUUCGAUGCAACGCGAAAAACCUUACCUACCCUUGACAUGGCUGGAAUCCUUGAGAGAUCAGGGAGUGCUCGAAAGAGAACCAGUACACAGGUGCUGCAUGGCUGUCGUCAGCUCGUGUCGUGAGAUGUUGGGUUAAGUCCCGCAACGAGCGCAACCCUUGUCAUUAGUUGCUACGAAAGGGCACUCUAAUGAGACUGCCGGUGACAAACCGGAGGAAGGUGGGGAUGACGUCAAGUCCUCAUGGCCCUUAUGGGUAGGGCUUCACACGUCAUACAAUGGUACAUACAGAGCGCCGCCAACCCGCGAGGGGGAGCUAAUCGCAGAAAGUGUAUCGUAGUCCGGAUUGUAGUCUGCAACUCGACUGCAUGAAGUUGGAAUCGCUAGUAAUCGCGGAUCAGCAUGUCGCGGUGAAUACGUUCCCGGGUCU
rnacentral:rRNA from 1 species